CUUUAUUCUUCAAAUUAUAUUUCGAAUCAUGCCUCUUUGCCCAUUGAUCUUUUUGUUAAAAACAAAACGAAAAUGAGAGAGUGCAUUUUGAUCCAUAUUGGACAGGCCGGUAUGGAGGGAGUUGUACUACCUUGCGCACGGCAUUGAGCGGUGGCGCGAGAAGGAAAUUGUUCGAACCUAAGCCAAUCCUUGAUGAAAAUUGGCGAGGCUGGUCACCGCCAGGACGAGGCGAAUUAAAUGAUGGUAGUCCGCGAUCGGAAUUCAUCCGAAUGACGAUAAAUCGAGGCGAAAAUCGUUCAGAGUUCGUGGUCAGAGCCCACUCUUUCUCUUUCCGAUCAAUAAAAAUCCAAAUUUAUGGUAUGAAAAUGUUCGUCUUGGUGAGAGGGUUGCAACGGUAUAUGAUAUGCCCAGAAAUUCCUUGGGACGACGCCGGAAUCUUAGAGAGAAGAUUCCGAUGAAAAAGGGGUCGAUCCCGUCGACUUCGGCCGAUGUGUCACAGCUGAAGAUAUGGAAGCAUACAGGAUGAAGAGAUGGAAACAUACAGGAUGAAGAGGGUCCAUCAUGAUGAUCCAAUGUAGGACUUCUUUGCAUUGGAUUUAUAGAUUUUAUGUUAGGAAAAGUCGGAAAUAGUUGUGGUCUUAGGGACAAUCUGAGAGGAAGCAUGCGAAGUUGUGUAAAAAGCACUACGAUUUGCAUGUGUUGUUGCUCUUCUUGAGCUCUGCAAUGUAUUGCUACCGUUGUUGCUAUGUAAUGAUUGGGGAGAUUUGUUAUGCUAUUGCACUCGGUUGUAUUGUA